rnacentral:rRNA from 10 species
GGCCUCAAAUAAUGUGUGAC